CGGACGGGUGAGUAACACGUGGAUAACCUACCUAUAAGACUGGGAUAACUUCGGGAAACCGGAGCUAAUACCGGAUAAUAUAUUGAACCGCAUGGUUCAAUGGUGAAAGACGGUUUUGCUGUCACUUAUAGAUGGAUCCGCGCCGCAUUAGCUAGUUGGUAAGGUAACGGCUUACCAAGGCAACGAUGCGUAGCCGACCUGAGAGGGUGAUCGGCCACACUGGGACUGAGACACGGUCCAGACUCCUACGGGAGGCAGCAGGC
rnacentral:rRNA from 1 species